CAGGCUGGCGAAGUACCUGAGGCGCCUUCUCAAGUUCUAAGUCUCAACCCUUGUGGGGCGGUGAAAGACCCUUUAAGAGGGGAAGCCUAGGACCACCUGCCUGUCGGGUGUUUGCAAUGAGAGUCACAGCAGUGAGAAAAUGACAGGGACGCAAACAGAACGUUGUUCCUGGAGAACCAUCAGGCCAGCGAGGAUGCAAGGCACCACGUCAGCCUGGUAGCUGAAGAAACACACACUUCGUCUUGGUUCCAACAGGCAGAUGACCCUUUGAGGUUCCUCCAUACCGAAGAUCGGUCUAGAAGCCAAGGAUACUGCUAUAAAUAAAACAGAAGGGGCUCUCAGGAGGAUGUCCCUUGCGGGAGAGAAACACAUGAGACAAGUAAGGACAAGACAGCUGCUCUCCAGAAAAUGUGCUUCAGAGAGAAAACAGAAGUGCCCGUGGCCUUGCCAGCACUAGAGGCAGGAGGAGAGAGUAAGGAUGUGGAGAGGAGAGGAAGUGACAGUUUGGAGCAUUGUGGAUGUCUGUCUAGUGAGGCUAAGGUUAACAGCCUAAACGAUGUUCAGAUCUGAAGACGAAACCAAAACCUCUCCCUCUUUCGAAGAAGGCAGAGAGAGCUCCGUCCCCACAACCUCAUCACCUAGAAAACCCAGUUGCCCCACCCCCAGGCAGAGCUACGAAUGUUCGUGGUUUCGUUCAACAUAGCCGUUGGGCACAUGUAGCUGGGGUCACACACAACGC